rnacentral:lncRNA from 1 species
GAGAAGGAAAAAUGACUCCACGGUGCUGUGUGGGGUCCCCGUCUCUGCGCAGCAGUCAUGCUCCAGGGAGGGGCUCUGUGGAUCCAGAUGCAGCUGAAACAGAACAACACAAAUGGAAAACGCACGCACACACACUAACUGAAGGAACAAGGAAGCAUUCGGUGGGUGCUCUCUUUCUGGCUUUGUGGAAGAAGAUUCACGAUGGUCCAGCCUCACUCAGAGGCCAAAAACUAAUGACAAUGGGAAUGUUGACAGGGGCGUCAGGAGAAGACUGUGGCAGCCAAGGGGCAAUAGACACACAGGAUUGAUGCCAAGAUUGUAGAAGAGAGAAGCUUCUGUAGAGUCAGAGAUGAUAAAUACUGCAACGACACUUAAAAGCUCAUUAUCCUUGGAAACCUUUAAAGAGAAUACAUUCUAAUCCAUGAAAAGCAAUUUCAUUAUCAUUUUGCUUGAGAAGAAUGAAUGGAUUAGACGACCACUCAAAUUUCAUUUAAGUGUAGUAGGAGAACCAUGGUUUUCUGAUCCUCACUCUAAGUUCAUCAAUUCUUAGAAACAGAAGUGCUCUUGAGACACGAUUUAAUCCUUCAACAGUCUACUUAAUUGUAUCCCCUUUUGUAGAUAGGUAGUGACCACCCAGUUACUAACAUAGUUCCAAGACAAUCAGUAGCAUGAUUAUAGGUGGCACGCACCUUUUACACCUUCAGACAGGAACACAAAAUCCAGCCUCAGCCUGAGAAACGGUGUGAAAGCAGCAUCAAUACAGCGAAAUCUCUGCUCUGUGCAGUGUGGGAGCCGCUAGACUAAAGACAGCCCCAGGGGACCUUCCUGCUGAGCAGAAUGAAUUGUGCUCCCACAACGUUGUCAACACUUGGGUUAAACAUAAAAAUAAAUAAAUUAAAUGUAAAUAAAGAACUCUAAAG